GCUCUUCAGCACUGACCCAUCUGCAGGAGGUCUGGGGACCUGGCACACAUGCUGCAUGCUCCUCUCCACGUGUGCUGCAUGAACAGUGAGACACACCGAGUCUUUGUGACCGGACACCGAGCCUCUGCGACCGGCCACAACAGGUUGUUUUUUGCUGGAUGAACAGCAGAACUACAGCCAGGAGAGAAGGGGACAAACCAUACCAACCAGAGUGAAAAACAGUCAGCAAAAGGAAAACAGCUUUGAUUAAUAUUUCAAGCAUUUUAUAACACUAAAAGCCAAACAACAGGAUAGAAAAGCUGAUUAUGCAGAAAUGAAAGCCAACUACAAUCUAAAGGUCAGAAGGCAAAUGUGCCUAUGUCAAGCACUACAUACCUUUUGGUUCUUGAACCUGGCAGCUGGAGGAAAAUCAACAUUGCACAAAAACCAAUAAUCCCUGUAAUGAAUCCUCUGUUUACUGGAAAAUUCUUAUGCACAGAAGACAUGUGCAACUGAGCCUGCUAUACCAUAUUUCCAUUACCAGCUCCUGAUGGAGAGGCCUGGGGCUAUCUGGUUGUGGACUUUAAGUGAUGGUUCAACAUUGCAGCAGUGCAGAAAACUAAGAUUUAAGAUUUUUGAAUUAAGAAGAUGAUUUGGACUCCUCAGAAAGUUUAACCCCAAGAGAAUUUGUUAUCUGAGCUGGAAAAAAAGUGCACAGGAACCCACUGCUCUUCUGAACCCACCAACCACCUCCUUACUGCUGAUUUUGCAAGGAUUAACGUGUACUUGCUGCACAUCCACGUGGAAGCAGAAUUUGAACUCCUCUGGAUUUUCGGUGGUCUCUGAAGAGAUGCUUCGUAUUUGUGAAAGUGGGACACCAAAGGAACAAGAAGCACCAGAAAACACAGCAAAAAGACUUCAACUAUUUAGUGACAGCUUCAAGACCUGAGCAAGGUUUAAAGGAGCCAGAUGAAUUAGAAGACUGUAAAAGUAUCUCCUCUUUCUCGGAAGCAGGUGAUAGUGUGAAGGAGGUUAUCUGGUGCUGUCAUUAUUGAGAGGGGCAAUAUCUCACUGCAAAAGAGGUGCUGAAGGUAGUGUUUGUCCCUGGGGUAGAAGCAAAGGGAAGGCGUUGGUGUUUGCAGCCUGGUGCUAAGGCACACACACCGCUGACAGGUGCGGUGUGAACGCGACACAUACUUGGAAACAAAAGUGAGACAUUGGUGGAAAGUGAAAAUGGAAAACUUUCCAGAUGCCAGGUGGAAAAUGAUAUUAAAGCUGUCAAAAUAAGUCACAACAAAGACUGGGUUUUCUCUUAGACUAACAGGAGUCAUGUUCUAGAGAAGAAUGGAGGUUUCAACUACAAGGCAGAGUGUCAUAAAUGAAACAAUUGUGAGCAUUGGAGGUUAAGUUUGAACCUAUUUGUUUUGGGGUUUUAUGUUUUGGUCUCUUUAUUUUUUCUUUUUCUCUUUGAAGUGCACUGCAGAGUUCCUGAUUUACUCUACAGUUGGUGGACAGGUCAAAAAUGUGUAAAUAAAUCCCACUGUCAUUGCUUCACAUAGUUAUCUAUUCUGGGCCUAAUUCCAAGCCCUGUUAAAUUGAUGGCAAUCCUUCCAUUGGCAUGGGAGGACUGCAGUUUAGAACCUGUGAUGCAAAAUAUCACCAGAGAGGAUGGAUAAACAGCCUCUGCAGUCAUCCAAAAUGAGUCUCUGAAACACAGAAAGGGAAGUAAACCUUGAACUACAUUCAAGGUCAAAUAUGCUUUAUAUAUAUGGUAAUGGAGCUUUUAAAAAUGUCAGCUCCACCUAAAUGCAUUAAACAUCUUAAAUAUUAUAAACGACCUUAUUCAGAUUUAAGACUGACAAUCUGAACAGAUAACCCAGUAUUUUACUUCUUGAAAAAUAUUAGCUGCACUGUUUAUACUUGGGUGGAAAACCACAAAUCAGAACAAAGUUUGCUGUGUUUCCUUAGUGUAGCCAAGGAAAUUUACUCUGCUGAUUAAGGAUUUUACUUGUCCAUGUAUUCACUUUAAUGCAGUGGUAGAUUCUUAUCAACAAUUUAUCUGUA